UUCUUAUCAAGAGUGACUGAGGGACUGGCCCUAUGACGUCCGGCAACCUGAACAGAAAUGUUCGAUGGUGCUAAUUCCAGCAGGUAUUAUAUAUAUCUGAAAGAUAAGAA
rnacentral:ncRNA from 2 species